UAGUCAUAUGCUUGUCUUAAAGAUUAAGCCAUGCACGUCUAAGGAUAAAUAUUUUUUUAACCGUAAACCUGCGGAUGGCUCAUUAAAUCAGUUAUAAUCUACUUCAUUGUAUAAAUUACUUGGAUAACCGUAGUAAUUCUAGAGCUAAUACAUGCAAAAAAUUUGAACUCGCAAGGGGACAAAUGUACUUAUUAAAGAUCAAAAUCAAUACAGGUCAUUCCAAACUCUAGAUUAUACUUUCAUCGGUAUUUUUUAGGGGACUUGUAAAAAAAAAAAAUUGAAGAAUCAUAGUAAACUUACGAAUCAUAAAUUUAAUUAUUUAUUGAUGAUAGAAACGAGUUUCUGACCUAUUAACUUUCGAUGGUAAUCUAGUGGAUUACCAUGGUUUUCAUGGGUAACGGAGAAUUUGGGUUUGAUUCCGGAGAAAAGGCCUGAGAGACGGCCAUUACUUCCAAGGAAGGCAGCAGGCGCGUAAAUUACCCAAUCCCAAUUCGGGGAGGUAGUGACGAGAAAUACUAGUAUUGGUCCCAACGGGAACAAUGAUUGGAAUGAGAACAAUUUAAAAACAUUAACGACUAACAAUU
rnacentral:rRNA from 1 species